ACAUUCUCUGGUCGAAAAUCCAGCUUUCUCCAAGAUUUAAACUAAGAAACCACCAAAAAUCUAAAUUUCAGCUCCAAUACAGCAGCAGCUCAGUAAAAUGCCAAAUUGACUAUACAAAUCUCAAUCAAAUGCUGUCAAAAUGGGCUCCACGAAUUUUCCAAGAAGUUAGCUGACCACAAAACCAAGUUUCACAAUAAUCCGAUCCUCCUACGUCACACACGAGCCAAAACGCCGAAGGUCGCUGCUGGAAUUCUUCUGGAACUGCAAUCCUCAAG
rnacentral:lncRNA from 1 species